rnacentral:ncRNA from 2 species
GCAGAAUAUAGGAACUCCAGUGCUGUCACUGACAGAUAAUAGGGAAUCAGGUGCGAAUCCUGAACGAUCCGGUCACUGUAAGCGUAAGAGAGGAUUGCAGAAGCCAUUGCAUGUGAAGUUGUGUGAGAAGGCGUGAUCUUAGAAUACUCUGCAAGUCAGGAAACCUGCUGGAGAAUCAGUGAAAAG